rnacentral:rRNA from 1 species
UACGAAGGGGGCGAGCGUUGUUCGGAAUUACUGGGCGUAAAGGGCGCGUAGGCGGCCACUGCAAGUCGGUUGUGAAAUCUCCGGGCUUAACCCGGAAAGGUCAACCGAUACUGCAGGGCUAGAGUGCAGAAGGGGCAACUGGAAUUCUCGGUGUAGCGGUGAAAUGCGUAGAUAUCAGGAAGAACACCCGUGGCGAAGGCGGCUCUCUGGGACGGUACUGACGCUGAGACGCGAAAGCGUGGGGAGCGAACAGG